rnacentral:rRNA from 1 species
UACGUAGGGUGCAAGCGUUAAUCGGAAUUACUGGGCGUAAAGCGUGCGCAGGCGGUUAUAUAAGACAGGUGUGAAAGCCCCGGGCUUAACCCGGGAAUGGCAGUGGAAACUGGCGGGCUUGAGUGUGGCAGAGGGGGGUGGGAAUUCCGCGUGCAGCAGUGAAAUGCGUAGAGAUGCGGAGGAACACCGAUGGCGAAGGCAGCCCCCUGGGCUAACACUGACGCUGGAGGCACGAAAGCGUGGGGAGCAAACAGG